AACAAUUUAUGUUACUGCAUGAGAUAAAAAUAACACAAUCCAGGUUUUGUUUGCUUCACACGUGUUUGCAGGUCCUCUCAGCUUCUGUCUCCGUCUUAAAUCAGCUGAUCUACACAAGAGAGAAAAUAGAAAUGCCUACGCAGAGACCAUGGCAUCCAUCCUCUAGCUUCAGGCCCAGGAAACACUCCAAAAGGGGAAGAGAGGUUGUAAAAGCCAGAAAAGAAAAUCUACCAUGAGACAAUGUCUCUUAGAAAUGACAUGGAAGUUUCACCCAUGAUACUUCAACAAAAGAGCUGCCUAAAUAUUCCUUAAAGUAUACUACUAAUAGACACACUAACAAGGAAGAAGAAGAAAUCUCCACAACCACAAACAACAACACUAAAACCUGACACAAGGCAACUAAGGAAUGAUGAGACUAGAAGUAGUCUUCCCUGUGGGAUCAAUUCCUUAAUUGCUUAUCUAUUAUCACAUGGUCAACCCUGAAAUCAUAUAUAAACAAGCAACACUUGAACUCAAUGAACUCAGCAAGUUGUAUUUAUUAUAUUUAAGUACUGAUAACAAGUAUACAUGGAUGUGACAAUAAUUGAGUAAAAUAGGCCAUGAGUUUGAGAGGGA
rnacentral:lncRNA from 1 species